rnacentral:rRNA from 1 species
CUUCGCCACUGGUGGUCUUCCCGGGAUUAUAGGAUUUCACUCCUACCCCGGAAAUACCGUCGGCCUCUCUCGUCCCCUAGCCGAACAGUAUCCCCCGCAAUCCAACGAUUGAAUCGCUGGAUUUAACAGGGGACUUGCCCAGCCGGCUACGAAUGCUUUAGGCCCAAUAAACAUCCACACCA